CGCGUAGGCAACCUGCCCUUUGCAGAGGGAUAGCCUCGGGAAACCGGGAUUAAAACCUCAUGAUACUGAGAGCCCGCAUGGGCUUUUGGCCAAAGAUUUAUCGGCAGAGAAUGGGCCUGCGUCUGAUUAGUUAGUUGGUGGGGUAACGGCCUACCAAGGCGACGAUCAGUAGCCGACCUGAGAGGGUGAUCGGCCACAUUGGAACUGAAACACGGUCCAAACUCCUACGGGAGGCAGCAGUGGGGAAUCUUGCACAAUGGGCGAAAGCCUGAUGCAGCAACGCCGCGUGAGCGAAGAAGGCCUUUGGGUCGUAAAGCUCUGUCCUAAGGGAAGAAGGAAGUGACGGUACCUUAGGAGGAAGCCCCGGCUAACUACGUGCCAGCAGCCGCGGUAAUACGUAGGGGGCAAGCGUUAUCCGGAAUUAUUGGGCGUAAAGAGUACGUACGCGGUUCUUUAAGCGUGCCGUGAAAUUUUGUGGCUCAACCAUGACAGUGCGGCGCGAACUGGAGACCUUGAGUGCGCGAAAGGCAGGCGGAAUUCAUGGUGUAGCGGUGAAAUGC
rnacentral:rRNA from 1 species